rnacentral:rRNA from 1 species
UACAGAGGUCUCAAGCGUUGUUCGGAUUCAUUGGGCGUAAAGGGUGCGUAGGCGGCGCGGUAAGUCGGGUGUGAAAUCUCGGAGCUUAACUCCGAAACUGCAUUCGAUACUGCCGUGCUUGAGGACUGGAGAGGAGACUGGAAUUUACGGUGUAGCAGUGAAAUGCGUAGAGAUCGUAAGGAAGGCCAGUGGCGAAGGCGAGUUCCUGGACAGUUACUGACGCUGAGGCACGAAGGCCAGGGGAGCAAACGGG